rnacentral:rRNA from 1 species
AGUGAACGCUGGCGGUAGGCCUAACACAUGCAAGUCGAACGGCAGCACAGUAAGAGCUUGCUCUUACGGGUGGCGAGUGGCGGACGGGUGAGGAAUACAUCGGAAUCUACUUUUUCGUGGGGGAUAACGUAGGGAAACUUACGCUAAUACCGCAUACGACCUACGGGUGAAAGCAGUGGAUCUUCGGACCUUGCGCGAUUGAAUGAGCCGAUGUCGGAUUAGCUAGUUGGCGGGGUAAAGGCCCACCAAGGCGACGAUCCGUAGCUGGUCUGAGAGGAUGAUCAGCCACACUGGAACUGAGACACGGUCCAGACUCCUACGGGAGGCAGAAGUGGGGAAUAUUGGACAAUGGGCGCAAGCCUGAUCCAGCCAUACCGCGUGGGUGAAGAAGGCCUUCGGGUUGUAAAGCCCUUUUGUUGGGAAAGAAAAGCAGCAGGUUAAUACCCCGCUGUUCUGACGGUACCCAAAGAAUAAGCACCGGCUAACUUCGUG